UACGUAGGUGGCAAGCGUGUCCGGAAUUAUUGGGCGUAAAGCGCGCGCAGGCGGUCCUUUAAGUCUGAUGUGAAAGCCCACGGCUCAACCGUGGAGGGUCAUUGGAAACUGGGGGGACUUGAGUACAGAAGAGAAGAGUGGAAUUCCACGUGUAGCGGUGAAAUGCGUAGAGAUGUGGAGGAACACCAGGUGGCGAAGGCGACUCUUUGGUCUGUAACUGACGCUGGAG
rnacentral:rRNA from 1 species